AAAUGUCACAACUGUUGUCCCCUUGUUUCUUUCAGUACUUUGUGUCAAUAUGUGGACUGUGUUCUUGUUGUAGUGGUCUUGAAAUUACAGUUUGUUCACCAGCAGCAGUCAUCUUGAGUUAUUUAUUGAAAUUCAAGGAUGUCCAAAGUAAAACAAAAUUACACUCUGAAUUUUUUGUUUUUUUUUUUAAUUUCAAAUAGCAUGAUAUGUAAUCAUAACCCUAAUUUUACUUAACAUUCUUUUCUUAGGUUAAUUACCUUUCAUAUGUUGCUCAUGUUUUGGUUUAUAUUCGAGACAAACGAGUUGAUAUGUCUGUAGAAGACCUGAUGAACAACCGAACAUAGAUGAAAAGACUCACUUGUACAAACAAAUAGAAGGACUAAAUAAUAUUAAAACAUUAAAAUCAUAAAUAACAUUAAAACUUUCUUCUUGUUUGCCAUAAA